AUUGAACGCUGGCGGCAGGCCUAACACAUGCAAGUCGAACGGUAGCACAGAGAGCUUGCUCUCGGGUGACGAGUGGCGGACGGGUGAGUAACGUCUGGGAAGCUGCCCGAUGGAGGGGGAUAACUACUGGAAACGGUAGCUAAUACCGCGUAACGUCGCAAGACCAAAGUGGGGGACCUUCGGGCCUCACACCAUCGGAUGUGCCCAGAUGGGAUUAGCUAGUAGGUGGGGUAAUGGCUCACCUAGGCGACGAUCCCUAGCUGGUCUGAGAGGAUGACCAGCCACACUGGAACUGAGACACGGUCCAGACUCCUACGGGAGGCAGCAGUGGGGAAUAUUGCACAAUGGGCGCAAGCCUGAUGCAGCCAUGCCGCGUGUAUGAAGAAGGCCUUCGGGUUGUAAAGUACUUUCAGCGGGGAGGAAGGCGGUGAAGUUAAUAACUUCACCGAUUGACGUUACCCGCAGAAGAAGCACUGGCUAACUCCGUGCCAGCAGCCGCAGUAA
rnacentral:rRNA from 1 species